rnacentral:rRNA from 1 species
UACAGAGGUCCCAAGCGUUGUUCGGAUUCACUGGGCGUAAAGGGUGCGUAGGUGGCUUGGUAAGUUUGAUGUGAAAUCUCCGGGCUUAACCCGGAAAUGGCAUUGAAUACUAUUGAGCUGGAGGUUUGGAGGGGGACUGGAAUUCUCGGUGUAGCAGUGAAAUGCGUAGAUAAUCGAGAGGAACACCAGUGGCGAAGGCGAGUCCCUGGACAACACCUGACACUGAGGCACGAAAGCUAGGGGAGCAAACAGGG